rnacentral:lncRNA from 1 species
UUGUCGAGGUGGUCAACCAUGUCUUAAAUAGGAGGGGGUUACAAAUCUUUGUCUUCAAUGAGAAGAUCUUUUAAAUCUCUCAAAUAUUCACAAAUUCAUGACUUGGCACUCAUUUUUGGUGUUCGUAUGGUUGGAGUACCACUUAGUUUUACUGUGUAAGACUCGUUAAGGUCGAAAUGGGCUAAGAGCAUUGAAGUGCCGUGAAAACAAAAGGCCUAGGCAAUACAGAGACUCUCAAAACUUUGUUAUUGUUCGUCUUCAAUCAUGUUGAACAGUAUUGACAAUAAAACUGUAUGCAAAUAUUUUGAAUGAUUCCGGCGGUUAAGAACACGCGGCUUCUUUUUGUUAUUGUUCAGUUUGGUAUUUAGACGAGUCGAAUUCAGUUAGACACAUUCAAGGGGCCGGUAUUCCUCGAGGACUGUUUUGGGAACAAUGAAAUAUUUUUCGGCACAGAGUCCUUUACUCCUCAUCAAGGUCACUCUUCUGUUAACAGCAUGCCCUGGAUUAUCUAAUGGCGAUGUGAUUUCAAAGCUUUUCGCCGACUACGACAAAGCCUUAAGACCUGAUUUUGAAAGCGGCAAACCUACGGUCGUGCAAUGUUCUUUGACUGUCGAAUCUUUUGGC